CAGGAGUUUUGAGUCGAGUAAAGGUUUCAUCAUCACUGAAAUAAUCUGGUUUUUCCACAGCUUGUUUGGGGCAGCAUUGUGUUUCAGCAUCACUGGAAGAAUGAGGCUGACUGAAAUGAACAGAUCUUUCCCCAACACUGGAGAAGUCCUGAGAUCCUCUGUUAUUUAAGCUCUUUAUUUUUUGCCCUAGUAAAGGAAAUAAAACACACCAACUAACCAUAAUAACAGUU